AUACGGAGGGUGCAAGCGUUAUCCGGAAUCAUUGGGUUUAAAGGGUCCGCAGGCGGACUAAUAAGUCAGUGGUGAAAUCCUCUCGCUUAACGAGAGAACUGCCAUUGAAACUGUUAGUCUUGAAUUCGGUCGAAGUAGGCGGAAUGUGUCAUGUAGCGGUGAAAUGCAUAGAUAUGACACAGAACACCGAUAGCGAAGGCAGCUUACUAGACCUGGAUUGACGCUCAUGGACGAAAGCGUGGGGAGCGAACAGGAUUAGAAACCCUAGUAGUCC
rnacentral:rRNA from 1 species